ACUCAAAGGAAUAGACGGGGGCCCGCACAAGCGGCGGAGCAUGUGGAUUAAUUCGAUGCAACGCGAAGAACCUUACCUGGGUUUGACAUGCACUGGAAACCGAUAGAGAUAUCGGCCCCCUUGUGGCCGGUGUGCAGGUGGUGCAUGGCUGUCGUCAGCUCGUGUCGUGAGAUGUUGGGUUAAGUCCCGCAACGAGCGCAACCCUCGUUCCAUGUUGCCAGCACGUAAUGGUGGGGACUCAUGGGAGACUGCCGGGGUCAACUCGGAGGAAGGUGGGGAUGACGUCAAGUCAUCAUGCCCCUUAUGUCCAGGGCUUCACACAUGCUACAAUGGCCGGUACAGAGGGCUGCGAAAUCGUGAGGUGGAGCGAAUCCCUUAAAGCCGGUCUCAGUUCGGAUCGGGGUCUGCAACUCGACCCCGUGAAGUCGGAGUCGCUAGUAAUCGCAGAUCAGCAACGCUGCGGUGAAUACGUUCCCGGGCCUUGCACACACCGCCCGU
rnacentral:rRNA from 1 species